rnacentral:tRNA from 1 species
UCUAAUAUGGCAGAAUAAUGCAUUGGAUUUAAACCCCAAAUAUAAAGAAUAUUUUCUUUUUUUAGAA